rnacentral:rRNA from 1 species
GAAUUUUGGACAAUGGGCGCAAGCCUGAUCCAGCGAUGCUGCGUGAGUGAAGAAGGCCUUCGGGUUGUAAAGCUCUUUUGUCAGGGAAGAAACGGCUCGGGCUAAUAUCCUGGGCUAAUGACGGUACCUGAAGAAUAAGCAACGGCUAACUACGUGCCAGCAGCCGCGGUAAUACGUAGAGUGCAAGCGUUAAUCGGAAUUACUGGGCGUAAAGCGUGCGCAGGCGGUUUUGUAAGUCUGACGUGAAAGCCCCGGGCUCAACCUGGGAAUUGCGUUGGAGACUGCAAGGCUUGAAUCUGGCAGAGGGGGGUAGAAUUCCACGUGUAGCAGUGAAAUGCGUAGAGAUGUGGAGGAACACCGAUGGCGAAGGCAGCCCCCCGGGUCAAGAUUGACGCUCAUGCACGAAAGCGUGGGGAGCAAACAGG